CUCCAGGAGCCGCCAUUUGGGAGCGGUGGCGGCUGAGGCGCUGCGGCGCGGCCCCUUCAGAACCGCGCGGGUAUGGCGGGCUGCGCGUGUGGCGGCUCCUCAAGACGAGCGCGUUCUCAGACACUGGGCGUAGCGCGGCCCCCCGGCCCGCAUCUGCCCGUAAGUCUUACCGGGAGCAGCGAGCCCCGCGCUGCAGGGAGCUGGCAGCGGCCCGAGGGGCGGUGCGUGCCGCCAGGGGUGGGGUAUCACCGCUGGGAAAGGUAUCGGGAAAGCCCGGGCGCGCAGCUUUCCCCUCAGCGGGCGAGGAGGAGCCGUCGGACGCGGGCCGGGCCUCACUCGUCCAGGCUCUGAAGGCAUCAAGUGCCCACGCUAAAUGGCAAUCAAUUUAUCGUCCUAAAGACUUGGAAGGAUAGCCACUGCAGUAUAAAACGUUUCUCCUAUUGCUGUUUUUUUUUUUUUUCGUAAGAACGUGCAGGCUUACAGUCGUUAGAUUAAUUGGUCUUCAAACAAGCAUUUCUCUGAAGAGAGCCUUCAGUAAAGCUCUCUCAGCCUUAUUUGGGGCUCCUCUGCAGAGGGAGGCUUAUGCUGCAUAAUCCAAGGCUGCAGCUCAGCUGAAGUCACAUCAACAACAAGGGCAAAGGAAAAGCAGCACUGCUGGGCAGCCUCUCCUAAACACCAAAUAAGAAAAGAACAACAUACAAAGGCUGCAGCUACGGAUGCCCUCCAGGGAAAGGUGUGUAAUUGCCAUCCCCAUUUCAAUCUGCUGUGAGGAACCCUAGAAGGCUGAAACAGAAAUCUCCAUGUCCUCAGAAAACCACAAUUCAGUACGUGAUUUAUGAACGUGAAUCACACCUUUCAUAUUCUCAAAGAGUAGCCUUUCCCACACAUGUCACAUUUAAACCAAAAGAGUCCUCUGAUGCACGCACAGUUUACGUGACUUUAGCAGGAUUCAUAGCCAAACUGUUGGCCCAGGAGAAACAGGUAAAUUCACAGCUGUGUGUACAGCGAGUGUUUGCAUUGCUCAAGACUAAGCGUGUCAGUGUAAUGUUGUAGACAGCAGUACAGAUAUUGGUAAAAGGAGAACCUUAAAAUACAAUAAUGUAAAAUGAAUAAAAACAUGACAUGAGAAGCUUAAAUCGUAACAUUUUAAGCUUUCAAAAAGAAUAGAAACAUCAAGAAUCGUAGUCAUAGAUCAAACCACUUCAGAUUCAAGCUGAGUUUCAGAUAGUUAAACUGUGUCAUUUAAAAUUUGUUCUUUGUUUUUAUGUAGUUUUUUGUUUGUCUGUUUUUUAUUUCUGCAUUGUAGAACUUAAACUGCAUAUGUUUUUAUAACAAUAGAACAUCUUAUAUAUGAAGUUCACAAAGCAGUAUACUUGUUUUGCUGGAAAGGAAACUAACGCAGUCUGUUCUCAUGAGAUAUUUCUGUUAUAUUGUUCACAACAGACUCUUUUUAUUUUAUCCAUAUCCAACUAAACGUUGGAUGCUGUUCAUCUGACAACAUUGCAUACUGUCACAUUCCUUUCCUCCACUCUAAUCAGCAUCUUUUCAGCCACAUACUGAAGCAAAGUUUUGGUAGCUUGUCUUUUGCUAUGUUAAUAACUUAGGACAUCUCCUCCCAAAAAGUUCAGUCUUUACCACCAUAGAUAAGGGUGCAGUGAUCCCAGUAUUUCCCUGGAAAGUAUGGAUUCUGGAGCAACUUACGCUCUCCAAGAACUCAGCGGAAGUUGUGCAGACUAAGAUGGGGUUGUGUUGAGCUGUGUGCCUGCAGGUUCCAACCCCUGGGGAUUUGCAUUAGUAGAUCUUUUAGGUCAUCAUUUAGUUUGGUAUGCAGAAUGGACAGUCCAAUACAAAGCUUCUAUAUGAGUAUCUAUAUUUAAAUUCAUGUUAUUUAUUUUCAGGGUCAAACUAACCUAAAUACUUGAGAGUUAACAAAAGAAACUUUGCCUAGCAGUUCAGUAUGUGUUACAGAAUCAAUUCAUCUCUAAUACUUUACUCCACCUAUUAGGCACACGUAUACCUAUGAUUCUUAUGUUGCCCUUAAAUAAACAUAACAAUAAAAAUAUUUGACAGAAAUGUCAACCGAGGUAGGUUUUAAAUGCAAAUUUGUGCGGAAACACUUCAAAGUAAAACUGAAAUAGUUUUUCAUUAAACAUUACAGAAAUAAAUUAUUUAUUCUCAGAGUGCAGCUCUAUAAGCAGUAAGCAAUGACCUUUUACUGAAAAAAAAAUCACUGAUAGUCUUACAUGAAAUAUAUUGUUAAGAUUUUCAACAAGCUGCCUACCACUUUUCUAUCCUCCAUAUGUUCUCUCUGCAAUCUGUGGUAUUAUAGAUAUCCAGUAUCUCAGGCUUAUUAUAUGUAGUGCAGCAGAAAAUUUCAGCUCCAAUUUCAAUGCAGUGCAACUUGCUUCUAGGAAAAUUCAGAGAUCCUGCACUGCCCCAUCCAGUUCUCUGAGUCCUCUCCAGACAGGAGGUAUUAAGUUGCUUUCUUGAAUUUUUAGCUACUCAUUUACAGUACCUAUUACCAAGACUUAUCUUCUAACGUGAAAUGGAGCAGUGACAUAUGAGAGUGCUGGUCAGAACUUUGGAACUUGAGAAUUUAAACAGAUGUGCUGGUUACAAAGCAUUGUCUCUGCUGUGCGACUCAGCCUGAGCCCAUUGGCUCACUUUGUUUUAUACGCACCUUGGUUGCCCCUUUAUGUGCAAAAGGGGUAAAAUCUGACCCAAAGAUAAAUCAACCAACCAACCAACCCAACCCCCUCACUAUCAGAGCCAUUUGGUUUAAAAGUGACCUCCACCAAGUUGUAUGUGACAGAGCUGUAUUUUAUUAGGUAAUCAUCACUGUAACUGUCUCCAUCUCCAGAUAGAAAUAGAUUUGAGAGCAGACUCUCACCGUAAGGACUGAUUGAUGUACCUUUGGUCAGAAACAUAACUUAGGAGGCUUGAAAGAAGAGCACAGGACAAAUGUAUUAGUCAAUUAAUCGAGACCACUGUAUACUGAGAAUAUCAAAGCAAGAAAAUAACACAGAGUGGGGAUGCUGAAGUGAUCUGUGCCAUUUGCACAGUGAAUAAAUGCUCAAUUUGAAUAAGCAGUAUAUGAGCUCCAACAGGGGAAAAAUAAUUUUAAAAAGUAAUAAAUACAAAUCAAGUCUUCCAUUUGUUUUGCUGCCUGAAUAAUCCUUGUUACUUCAUAGACAACAAACACAGUAGUUUGAUAUAUACAUGUAGUCUAUUUUAGAAACCUAACCAAGCUGGUUUAUUGGGUUUAUUUUGACUUUCUGAAGAAGCCUAACAACAACAAGAUCUACUCACAGCUAGGUAGUACAGCUUAAAAAUAACACCCAUAAAUAAAUAGCUCCCUCCUGACAAAUUUCUGAAAGAUUCUUAUUAUUUUUCAAAUACCUGACACAGAGCUGCAUAAAUAGUCCAGUAUCUGACUUGGCAUGACCCCAAGCUGUGCAUUAUUUUUCCUGCGUAUGGACAAUUUAUUGUGUGCAGUAUCUGAACUGCAUUCUGUACUUAGUUUCUCUAGAAACUGGCCAUUGUAGUGAUGCACACAGGAUGACAACAUUUCAGCUUUAUGUGAAGAAUGAUGGGCAUUGAAUCAGUAGCAGUGGAAUAAGAAAAGGAAGAUGUAUGCGCACGCACACGUGUAUGUGAUUAUUUCUGUGUGUAUACAUGUUCAGAACAUACUGAGGGAUGACAGGCAACAGAACUAAACAUUUUAAGUUUCCUUUUAUCUUCUUGCAGAUCGUAUAUGUUGUAAUUCUUCAGAAAACAGCCUUUUUUUUUUUUAAUAGAUUUGAAGAGGAUCCUAUCUUUGUAGACAUACAGUUCUGUUGUACACAGAAACACUGGCUUGCAUUCUGUCUGAUAUCACACAGCGUUUAUCAAAGGUAGAUUCCAGGAGACAAGAAUCAAAAGCAGUCUAGUCAGCCUAUCUGACAGCUCACAAGCUGCUCUCCAGCACUGUUAUUCCCAGAUAAAGCCAAACUAAUUAUAAUAUAGAUAUUAAGUUAUAAAUACCUGGCAUCAUUCAAGGAUUUGAUAUAUUUCUGCUUAGCAAGAAGACAGAAGUCUAUUUCAGUCCAUACGCAUGUUCAUGUACUAAGAGAAGUAGAUCCUUCAUUUACUGCAUUUAUUUAUUUUUUAAAGUAUUUGGCUUUCAGCAUUAACCUUAAUCCACCGUGUUUCAAGUUCAUCUUAAACAUGCAGAUGAGCAAAGAUAGGUGAUCAAAGGCAUACAUUAGCUUUGGCAAACAUACCUGUUUUAGCCACCCUUUGAUACUUGGUCUAUCAGUGCAAUAUAUAGCAAAUUGUGCUUAGAAGGACAUGAAGAUGCGCUUACAUCAUAAUUUUAAAUUUUCAUUGUUCUGUUUCUGAAGUUAUGACGACAGUGAAGGAUUUUUGAGAUGAUUGAGCUGUGUUGGUAAUGGAGCUGUGGAGUAUAAAGCAUUCUGAUACACUGUAUUUCAGAUCUAGGCUAAAAUGCGUUGGUGAAAGUUUCGGUGUAUGCUGAUGGGCUACAUCUCUGUUACAGGUAUCAACAUCAGCAUUCUUGCCAGCAACAGAACGCAUUGCUAGCCUGCAGCAUGUGAAGCUCCGUUGGAUGAUCCAGUGGCUCAGAGAAGGCUCAUGGAGCAGAAAGGCUAGUGAGUGCUAAGAGGGCUGGUCUCUGGGAGACUGCAAGCAGCUAAGAACUAUCACCACCAAGCAACCUCUUGAAGACAGCAGAACCCAAGAUGGAGUGAGCACUACAAAGCAGGUGACCACCAGGAAAGAAAAUGUGUGACACCACAUUGGUCUCUGUCAGUGGGGUACUUUCCUACUUGGAAAGAACUUUCCAUGAGAAAGUCUGGAUGGCUGCAGUACAAGUUCUUAUAAUAUCCAGAGCCAAACUGUAAUUUGGUGGUACAUAUAACAUAGUAUGGUAUUAAGUGUGGUAUCUGUUUCUAUAUGUAUUUGAAUGCACAUGGCAGUGCUUUUUUCUGUGAUGGGUGAUGCAGAAAUGCUUGUGCUGGGCAGGAAAUGCAGCCAGAUAUUCUAGGAAGCCUCCAUGUUAGCCUAAGGCAGCUAUAAAAAGAAAAUGGGGUGCUGCUUAGAUGGUUUAAUAGUAAGGACUGAGUUACCAUUACUGGUCAUGUUUCAUCGGCUUUUUGCAUUUCUAUCUCCAAGAAAUAUAAAGGAUUCCCUGAGAGCAGGACACACAAGAAGCUUUAAGCCCUUAGAAUGUAAAUAUUUGUGAAGCAGAUGGUGAGCCCCGAGUAUUAGGGUAAACAUCAAUUUUUCUGUUUUAUUCUCAUAUGCGAGUGUAUUUUAUUCAGACCUUAAUCUUUGUGCUGUGUAACUGCCACUAAAUAAACAGUUUCUUUUCAACUAAUCUCUAGAGAAAGAUUGCUUCCUACCUAUUCCUGUCAUGCUUCUUGCAGGCACGUUGCUCCUUCCUUCACUGACUCCUUCUUUUAUUUGGGCAUAGUAAAAGAAAGGCUAAUCUAGGCAUCUGUGGAGAAAGUAGAUUUUUAAACUAAUGAUACAGAGAUGUGAUGUGGGAGGUGUAGAUAAUUUAAGUUCAAAUCCUGAGGUUGUUAUUCAGUUCUGCAACUGUAAGGAGAGCAACCGUAAUUAUGUUUUUGAGAGAGGAUGGCAGUACCCGCAGUCUGACUGGCACUAUGUAACCUUGGGGUCUUUCUGGAAAGAGGUGGAUACCCAGUCUUUAUUUUGAGCUGCUUUCUGGAAGAUCCUGUCUCUGUCUGUUGAGUACAGAGCGUGCCAGGAUUAGCAGAGCCAAACCUUGUUCACAUUAAUUCCUUCAAUGUGAGGAUUUUGCUUUAGGCUGAGGAGCAUUUGAUCUUCUCUCUCUUAUUUCAGCUGCAAUGAAAAAAAUCCUGUCAAAUGUUAAUCAGAUUCAGAUCUUUUAGCUCCAGUGGUGUUUUGCUCAGUAAACUAUUCUCACUGGCGCUUUUGCCUGUCAUUUUUGCCAUCAGCUGAAAAGCUGAAAACUCUGCUUUCCUAACUAUUUCCCUCAGCUCGGGAUUUCAUGUGUGCCACGAUCGGAAUUUAUCAAUAGACUGAACAGUCAUUU
rnacentral:lncRNA from 1 species